ACUUCGUGCUCGCCUGGGAGGAGAAGCUGCGACCCCCGCGGCGGCGGGAGAGAGGCGACUCCGGCAGCGGCGCUGGCGCGAGAAUUUUCAGCGGAACCUGGAGGAGAAAUCCUGGACCGCACAAUCUCCAGGAAGAAGAAACAUACAGAGAUGGGCAUCGCCCACCUGCUGGUAGAGGGAGUCUACACUGCGGCCUUCCCACUGCCCAAUUGCUGUACCCAUACUGGGCUUGCUGGGGAUACUGGCACAAGUACCAGCCCCUGGACCAGCCUUUGGACAAAGUAUGAGAGUACUUUGGGGUGAAGGUGGUCAUCCACUUUGCCUGGUUUCUACAUGGCCUGUCUGCUGCCUGUGACCCUGGUGGGCACCCUGCUCUUUAUCUGGGGGUGCCACUCUGUGAUACCUGUGCCACGUGGAAUAUUUCUGGGAUCUGCCCCAUGGCCAAGCUGAGCUGCCUCUUUGACCACCCAGGAACCGUGUUCUUCAGCAUCUUCAUGUCCUUCUGGGGCCAUGGCCUUCCUGGAGCACUGGAAGCAGGGAGUGCCACCUUGGCCCACCACUGGGACUGCAGUGACUUCCAGGACCAGGAGGCAAUGCCCAGUUCAGCCCCCCACCACUGGGACUGCAGCGACUUCCAGGACCAGGAGGUGAUGCCCAGUUCAGCCCUCCACCACUGGGACUGCAGCGACUUCCAGGACCAGGAGGUGAUGCCCAGUUCAGCCCUCCAGGCCACAACCCCACUUCCCAGAUUUGCUGCCCUGGCCCUGCAGAUGACCCAGAACCCAGUGACAGGCUUGAAGGAGCCCUACUUCCUCUGUGUGGUGAUGAUUUUCCUGGUAUCUGUCAUAAUUUACCAUGGCAUCAUCAGCAUUGCAAUUUCACUUUCAUUUUCAGUUUGUCAAUUUCUAUUCUUCUCCCUUCUACAUGGCAUUCUUCAAAGGCAGGUUUGUGGGAUACCCCGGUCAUGCGGUCCUGGUGGCUGCCACAUUCAGGUCACCCAGCAGCUCAUCAUCAUCAUGGUGGGCAAACAGCUGCUCAACCACAUGGAAGAAUUUGUUGGUGGAAAUCAUCAUGGUGCCUGCCUCUAAGGGGUGCUGGCUUGGUGGCAGAAGUGGCAGCUGGCAGGGCAGAGGGACACCCAGAUCGGGCAGGAGCUGCAGCACUGGGAGAAGGAAGGACUAUGAGCUCAUCAAGUGUCAGGGCCUGUUUGAUGAAUACCCAGGAGCUGCAGUUUGGGUUCAUCACCAUCUUUGUGGGAGCCUUCCUGCUGGCACCCCUGUUCACUCUGCUCAACAACCGGGUAGAGAUUGGACUGGACGCCCACAAGUUCCUGUGCAAGUACCAGCGACCAAUGGCUGGGCGCGGCUUUCGUCUCGCCUUCAUCUCGGACUUCUGCCGCAUAUCCCGUAACAGUACGAACACCACACCCAGCUGCACGGAUUUGUGAAUUUCACGCGGGCACCCGCGCCCCAUGCCCACCUGAUACAAGGCCUCUCGCGACGUGGGGGUGAACCUCGCCCUCUUCUACUGGAAGCUGCUGGCUGUGCAUGUGCAUCUGGGUUUCAUUAUCGCCUUCGAGAAUGUAGUGUUCUUCUUCCUGUGCCCCAACGACCGGCUCGUGCCCGAUGUGCCAGCCCUGGCUACCAAGAUAACUGCGCGAGCGCUACCUGGCCAAGCAGGCGGUGGCAGACAACCGGGAGACGCUGUUUCAGUCAGCAAG
rnacentral:lncRNA from 1 species